GAAAUGCGAUAAGUAAUGUGAAUUGCAGAAUUCAGUGAAUCAUCGAAUCUAUGAACGCACAUUGCGCCCGCCAGUAUUCUGGCGGGCAUGCCUGUUCGAGCGUCAUUUCAACCAUCAAGCCCCCGGGCUUGUGUUGGGGACCUGCGGCUGCCGCAGGCCCCGAAAACCAGUGGCGGGCUCGCUGUCACACCGGGCGUAGUAGAUUUUUCGUCUCGCCCAGGGCGUGCUGCGGGUUCCGGCCGUUAAAAAGCCUCUCUUUUAACCCAAGGUUGACCUCGGAUCAGGUAGGAAGACCCGCUGAACUUAAGC
rnacentral:misc_RNA from 1 species